UACGUAGGGUGCAAGCGUUGUCCGGAAUUAUUGGGCGUAAAGAGCUCGUAGGCGGUUUGUUGCGUCUGCUGUGAAAACCCGAGGCUCAACCUCGGGCCUGCAGUGGGUACGGGCAGACUAGAGUGCGGUAGGGGAGAUUGGAAUUCCUGGUGUAGCGGUGGAAUGCGCAGAUAUCAGGAGGAACACCAGUGGCGAAGGCGGGUCUCUGGGCAGUAACUGACGCUGAGGAGCGAAAGCGUGGGGAGCAAACAGG
rnacentral:rRNA from 1 species